rnacentral:rRNA from 1 species
UAUUUGUUGUCAUAUUACUUUUUUUUUGUUCUUUUUUAUGUUUUUUUUGUAAAAUAUUUUGAUUUUUUGUAUUUUUUUGUAAUAUUUAAAAUUUGGUUUUUGAACUGGAUUAGUACCCAGGUAAUCAAAGUUUAUUAAUUCGGGAGUAAAGUUUUGUUUAAACCGAAAAAAUAUUGACUGACUUUAGAUUUUUCUUUGGAAUAUGUGUUUUUGGAGAGCCCUCUUUUUUGGUAAAUUUUAUUGGCACAUGUAUGAUUGUUUAGUUUUUAUUUUAUUUGUGUUGCUUUUUUUGUUUUUUGCAUUUAAAACAGAUAUAUAUUUGGCUUAUAAAUUUAUUUUUCAUGUGUUACUAUUAUUAAUUUUUUUUGGAUUUGUUUUUUAUUUUAUUUUUGAAAUUGGAAAAGAAAGUAAUUUUUUCUUUAUGUAUUAAUGAAUUUAAUAAAUAAAGUGGUACAAACCAUCCGUCAAUGGCCUAA